rnacentral:rRNA from 1 species
AAUGAACGUUGGCGGCGUGGAUUAGGCAUGCAAGUCGAGCGGAAAGGCCCGCAAGGGCACUCGAGCGGCGUAAGGGACAGUAAUGUGUAGGUACGUACCCCUGGGUCUAGGAUAGCUGCGGGAAACUGCAAUUAAUACUAGAUGAUGUCUCCGGACCAAAGGUGUGAUUCCACCCAGGGAGCGGCCUACAUCCUAUUAGCUAGUUGGUGAGGUGACGGCUCACCAAGGCGAAGAUGGGUAGCAGGUGUGAGAGCACGACCUGCGUCACUGGGACUGAGACACUGCCCAGACACCUACGGGUGGCUGCAGUCGAGAAUCUUCGGCAAUGGGCGAAAGCCUGACCGAGCGACGCCGCGUGCGGGAUGAAGGCCUGG